rnacentral:rRNA from 1 species
AUGGCGGACGAGAGGAGCAGGAGGGGAGGCGCGGAGGCAGGGCCAUAUGCGUCGGACGCGCGCGUUCGUCCGCAGUCAACGCGGACACAGCGGCCGUCCAUGGCGGCUUGGGUCGAUGUAGGAGGACGAGGGGAGGAGCUCGCGAGGCCCGGCACCGGUAAUGGAGCGGAGGCGGCUGGAUCUGGCGAUUCUAGAGGGGCUGGCGACGAGCGGCUCCAUGGGCGGCGACCUGCGGGGUUCAAGCGGCGGCUGAAGGUUUGUCAGGUAUGA